UACGAAGGGUGCAAGCGUUACUCGGAAUUACUGGGCGUAAAGCGUGCGUAGGCGGUUUGUUAAGUCCGUUGUGAAAGCCCUGGGCUCAACCUGGGAAUUGCAGUGGAUACUGGCGAGCUAGAGUGCGGUAGAGGAUGGUGGAAUUCCCGGUGUAGCGGUGAAAUGCGUAGAGAUCGGGAGGAACACCCGUGGCGAAGGCGGCCAUCUGGACCAACACUGACACUGAGGAGCGAAAGCCAGGGGAGCAAACGGG
rnacentral:rRNA from 1 species